rnacentral:rRNA from 1 species
CGAAGCAACGCGAAGAACCUUACCAGGUCUUGACAUCCCGAUGCUAUUUCUUAGAGUAUAGAAAGUUACUUCGGUACAUCGGUGACAGUGGUGCAUGGUUGUCGUCAGCUCGUGUCGUGAGAUGUUGGGUUAAGUCCCGCAACGAGCGCAACCCCUAUUGUUAGUUGCCAUCAUUCAGUUGGGCACUCUAGCGAGACCGCCGGUAAUAAACCGGAGGAAGGUGGGGAUGACGUCAAAUCAUCAUGCCCCUUAUGACCUGGGCUACACACGUGCUACAAUGGGGCGUACAGAGAGCUGCGAUACCGCGGGGUGGAGCCAAUCUCUUAAAGCGUCUCUCAGUUCGGAUUGUUCUCUGCAACUCGAGAACAUGAAGCUGGAAUCACUAGUAAUCGCAGAUCAGCUAUGCUGCGGUGAAUACGUUCCCGGGUCUU